rnacentral:rRNA from 1 species
AUGCUGCUCACUGUCGUUUUGGUCGUUUUUCUUUUUUUUGUUGUUACGAAAAAGGGAGGUGGAAAGUCAGUGCCAAAUGCAUGGCAAUCCUUGGUCGAGCUUAUUUAUGAUUUCGUGCUGAACCUGGUAAACGAACAAAUAGGUGGUCUUUCCGGAAAUGUGAAACAAAAGUUUUUCCCUCGCAUCUCGGUCACUUUUACUUUUUCGUUAUUUCGUAAUCCCCAGGGUAUGAUACCCUUUAGCUUCACAGUGACAAGUCAUUUUCUCAUUACUUUGGCUCUUUCAUUUUCCAUUUUUAUAGGCAUUACGAUCGUUGGAUUUCAAAGACAUGGGCUUCAUUUUUUAGCUUCUUAUUACCUGCGGGAGUCCCACUGCCGUUAG